rfam:Triticum aestivum genome assembly, contig: Triticum_aestivum_CS42_TGACv1_scaffold_061641_1DL
UUCAUACUCCCUCCGUCCCAAAUUUCUUGUCUUAGAUUUGUCUAGAUACGGAUGUAUCUAAUACUAAAACGUGGCAUGAUACAUCCGUAUUUAGACAAAUCUAAGACAAGAAUUUUGGGACGGAGGGAGUACGUC